GUCAGAUGAACGCUAGCUACAGGCUUACACAUGCAAGUCGAGGGGCAGCAUGGUCUUAGCUUGCUAAGGCCGAUGGCGACCGGCGCACGGGUGAGUAACACGUAUCCAACCUGCCGUCUACUCUUGGACAGCCUUCUGAAAGGAAGAUUAAUACAAGAUGGCAUCAUGAGUCCGCAUGUUCACAUGAUUAAAGGUAUUCCGGUAGACGAUGGGGAUGCGUUCCAUUAGAUAGUAGGCGGGGUAACGGCCCACCUAGUCUUCGAUGGAUAGGGGUUCUGAGAGGAAGGUCCCCCACAUUGGAACUGAGACACGGUCCAAACUCCUACGGGAGGCAGCAGUGAGGAAUAUUGGUCAAUGGGCGAGAGCCUGAACCAGCCAAGUAGCGUGAAGGAUGACUGCCCUAUGGGUUGUAAACUUCUUUUAUAAAGGAAUAAAGUCGGGUAUGGAUACCCGUUUGCAUGUACUUUAUGAAUAAGGAUCGGCUAACUCCGUGCCAGCAGCCGCGGUAAUACGGAGGAUCCGAGCGUUAUCCGGAUUUAUUGGGUUUAAAGGGAGCGUAGAUGGAUGUUUAAGUCAGUUGUGAAAGUUUGCGGCUCAACCGUAAAAUUGCAGUUGAUACUGGAUAUCUUGAGUGCAGUUGAGGCAGGCGGAAUUCGUGGUGUAGCGGUGAAAUGCUUAGAUAUCACGAAGAACUCCGAUUGCGAAGGCAGCCUGCUAAGCUGCAACUGACAUUGAGGCUCGAAAGUGUGGGUAUCAACAGAUAU
rnacentral:rRNA from 1 species